UCGAACGAGAAAGUGGAGCAAUCCAUGAGUACAGUGGCGACCGGGUGAGUAACACGUAGCUAACCUACCCUCAAGCGGGGGAUAACCUGGGGAAACCUGGGCUAAUACCGCAUAACAUCCCUGGAGCAUCGGCUCCGGGGAGCAAAGGUCCGCAAGGGCCACUGGAGGAGGGGGCUGCGGCCGAUUAGCUAGUUGGUGAGGUAAUGGCCCACCAAGGCAAUGAUCGGUAGCCGGCCUGAGAGGGCGCACGGCCACACUGGCACUGAAACACGGGCCAGACUCCUACGGGAGGCAGCAGUGGGGAAUUUUGCACAAUGUCCGAAAGGGUGAUGCAGCAACGCCGCGUGAGGGAUGAAGGUCUUCGGAUCGUANACCUCUNUCGGACGGGAAAAACGGGCGGGUGANAAAUCCGCUUUGAUGGUACCGGUGGAAGAACCCCGGCCANCUACGUG
rnacentral:rRNA from 1 species